AUUGAACGCUGGCGGCAGGCCUAACACAUGCAAGUCGAGCGAGCGGCGGACGGGUGAGUAAUGUCUGGGAAACUGCCUGAUGGAGGGGGAUAACUACUGGAAACGGUAGCUAAUACCGCAUACCAUCAGAUGUGCCCAGAUGGGAUUCGCUAGUAGGUUGGGUAACGGCUCACCUAGGCGACGCUCCCUAGCGGGUCUGAGCGGAUGACCAGCCACACUGGAACUGAGACACGGUCCAGACGCCUAGGGGAGGCAGCAGUGGGGAAUAUUGCACAAUGGGCGCAAGCCUGAGGCAGCCAUGCCGCGUGGUGGAAGAAGGCCUUCGGGUUGUAAAGCACUUUCAGCGGGGAGGCGUUACCCGAAGAAGAAGCACCGGCUAACUCCGUGCCAGCAGCCGCGGUAAUAC
rnacentral:rRNA from 1 species